rnacentral:rRNA from 1 species
AGCGAACGCUGGCGGCAGGCUUAACACAUGCAAGUCGAGCGGGCACUUCGGUGUCAGCGGCAGAUGGGUGAGUAACACGUGGGAACGUACCCUUUGGUUCGGAAUAACGCUGGGAAACUAGCGCUAAUACCGGAUACGCCCUUUUGGGGAAAGGCUUGCUGCCGAAGGAUCGGCCCGCGUCUGAUUAGCUAGUUGGUGGGGUAAUGGCCUACCAAGGCGACGAUCAGUAGCUGGUCUGAGAGGAUGAUCAGCCACACUGGGACUGAGACACGGCCCAGACUCCUACGGGAGGCAGCAGUGGGGAAUAUUGGACAAUGGGCGCAAGCCUGAUCCAGCCAUGCCGCGUGAGUGAUGAAGGCCUUAGGGUUGUAAAGCUCUUUUGUCCGGGACGAUAAUGACGGUACCGGAAGAAUAAGCCCCGGCUAACUUCGUG